AUUGAACGCUGGCGGCAGGCCUAACACAUGCAAGUCGAACGGUAACAGGAAGCAGCUUGCUGCUUCGCUGACGAGUGGCGGACGGGUGAGUAAUGUCUGGGAAACUGCCUGAUGGAGGGGGAUAACUACUGGAAACGGUAGCUAAUACCGCAUAACGUCGCAAGACCAAAGAGGGGGACCUUCGGGCCUCUUGCCAUCGGAUGUGCCCAGAUGGGAUUAGCUAGUAGGUGGGGUAACGGCUCACCUAGGCGACGAUCCCUAGCUGGUCUGAGAGGAUGACCAGCCACACUGGAACUGAGACACGGUCCAGACUCCUACGGGAGGCAGCAGUGGGGAAUAUUGCACAAUGGGCGCAAGCCUGAUGCAGCCAUGCCGCGUGUAUGAAGAAGGCCUUCGGGUUGUAAAGUACUUUCAGCGGGGAGGAAGGCGACAGGGUUAAUAACCCUGUCGAUUGACGUUACCCGCAGAAGAAGCACCGGCUAACUCCGUGCCAGCAGCCGCGGUAAUACGGAGGGUGCAAGCGUUAAUCGGAAUUACUGGGCGUAAAGCGCACGCAGGCGGUCUGUCAAGUCGGAUGUGAAAUCCCCGGGCUCAACCUGGGAACUGCAUUCGAAACUGGCAGGCUAGAGUCUUGUAGAGGGGGGUAGAAUUCCAGGUGU
rnacentral:rRNA from 1 species